rnacentral:rRNA from 1 species
GCCGGCAGCUAGCUAUCUGCAACUCUCAAAUUGUCGCCCACUAAAGCUAAGCAGAGCUGAGCCCGGUCACUACCUGAAUGGGAGACCACAUGGGAAUGCUAGGUUGCUGACGGAA